AUUGAACGCUGGCGGAAUGCUUUACACAUGCAAGUCGAACGGUAGAGGGGGCAACCCCUCGAGAGUGGCGAACGGGUGAGUAAUAUAUCGGAACGUGCCCAGUCGUGGGGGAUGACGUAGCGAAAGUUACGCUAAUACCGCAUACGAUCUAAGGAUGAAAGCGGGGGAUCGCAAGACCUCGCGCGAUUGGAGCGGCCGAUAUCAGAUUAGGUAGUUGGUGGGGUAAAGGCUCACCAAGCCAACGAUCUGUAGCUGGUCUGAGAGGACGACCAGCCAGACUGGAACUGAGACACGGUCCAGACUCCUACGGGAGGCAGCAGUGGGGAAUUUUGGACAAUGGACGCAAGUCUGAUCCAGCCAUUCCGCGUGCAGGAUGAAGGCCCUCGGGUUGUAAACUGCUUUUGUACGGAACGAAAAGGUCUCUCUUAAUACGGGGGACUCAUGACGGUACCGUAAGAAUAAGCACCGGCUAACUACGUGCCAGCCGCCGCCGUAA
rnacentral:rRNA from 1 species